rnacentral:rRNA from 1 species
UACAGAGGGUGCAAGCGUUGUUCGGAUUCAUUGGGCGUAAAGGGUGCGUAGGUGGCGCUGUAAGUCGGGUGUGAAAUCCUGGGGCUUAACCCCGGAACUGCAUUCGAUACUGCAGUGCUUGAGGACUGGAGAGGAGACUGGAAUUCAUGGUGUAGCAGUGAAAUGCGUAGAGAUCAUGAGGAAGACCAGUGGCGAAGGCGGGUCUCUGGACAGUUCCUGACACUGAGGCACGAAGGCCAGGGGAGCAAACGGG